rnacentral:sRNA from 1 species
AUUUAAUAACUGAAUUAUGAUAACACUUGUCCAAAUUGGAUGAGAAUCAAAGUUUUUUGGAAGAGAAACUCAACUCUAUUUUUCUCCUACUUUUUCUACCUUCUCUCAUAUUUUUUUUUUUAAUUAUUUUUCUUUUGUUGGAUAUCUCGUUGAGAUAUUUUCGAUAGAGAUGCUCAAAUUGGUAACUAACAUGAAACUUUUACAAUCAUUAGACCAUCAUAAAGCAACAAAGUAAAUUCGUUUCCUUGGUUGCUGAUUUUCCUAGGUGUUUAAUAUGAUAAUGAAAAAAAAUAUAUAUAUA